rnacentral:rRNA from 1 species
UACGUAGGGUGCAAGCGUUAAUCGGAAUUACUGGGCGUAAAGCGUGCGCAGGCGGUUUUGUAAGUCUGUCGUGAAAUCCCCGGGCUCAACCUGGGAAUUGCGAUGGAGACUGCAAGGCUAGAAUCUGGCAGAGGGGGGUAGAAUUCCACGUGUGAGCAGUGAAAUGCGUAGAGAUGUGGAGGAACACCGAUGGCGAAGGCAGCCCCCUGGGUCAAGAUUGACGCUCAUGCACGAAAGCGUGGGGAGCAAACAGG